rnacentral:rRNA from 1 species
UACGUAGGUGACAAGCGUUGUCCGGAAUUACUGGGCGUAAAGGGCUCGUAGGCGGCCAAUUAAGUCAGACGUGAAAUCCCUCGGCUUAACCGGGGAACUGCGUCUGAUACUGGAUGGCUUGAAUCCGGGAGAGGGAUGCGGAAUUCCAGGUGUAGCGGUGAAAUGCGUAGAUAUCUGGAGGAACACCGGUGGCGAAGGCGGCAUCCUGGACCGGCAUUGACGCUGAGGAGCGAAAGCCAGGGGAGCAAACGGG